AACAUAACAUAUCAUACUAAUUUGAGCAUCCCAGAUUUACAUUUAGUGUGUUACAUCUAGUCUAUGAGACCGGGCUGGAUUUGAGGGAGGGCAGGCAGAAGACAGGUUAACUUUCUGAUUUGAGGGAGGGCAGACAGAAGACAGGUUAACUUUCUGAUUUGAGGGAGGGGAGGCAGGAGACAGGUUAACUUCCUGAUUUGAGGGAGGGCAGGCAGGAGACAGGUUAAAUUCCUGAUUUGAGGUAGGGCAGGCGAGUGAAAGGUUAACUUCCUGAUUUGAGGGAUGACAGGCGGGUUGCAGUUUAACUUCCUGAUUUGAGGAGGGCAGGCAGGAGGCAGGAGAGGAGACGUGUACCAGCUAGUCUUCAGAGCCGCGGUGGGUCUGAUGCUAAAUAAAGAGACAUUCCCUGCAAACUGCUUAUGAUUCCAGAAUAAUUGAUUAUCCAAUAAGAAAUGAGCAGCAGCACUGGGGCCCGUGUUGCAGUGAUGUCACUGAUGCAGAUUGAAUACCCACAAUGCUGUUUACCAUGCUGACCUGACUGGGGGUAGAAAAGAUCAACUAGAUGGGAAAAGAUGUGGUUAGAUACCACUGGACUGUAGCCUCACAGGCCACCACAACAACAGAACCCUCUUCCUAAGGGUACAGGAGGUGUUAACAUACACCUUGGAGGUGGUCCUCCAAACUCCUCCAUCUAACAUCUGUCCCUGAUUGGCACCAUAUCCUAGUUUAGAAACCUCAAGAAAUAGAAGAAGAAGAAGUAGAAGAAGAAGUAGAAUGGCAGUAAAAUGAGGUAGAUAUCAAAAACAUUUAGCAGAGGCUCCUUCUCUCUUGCAUUCUGAUCAACGUCUGGAAGCUCUAAUUUAUUAAAUGUAAUUCUGCCCUCCACUGCUACUAAAAAGGUGCACACACACUCAGGAACACACUCACACAUCUCCUGCUCUAACAGUCACUCACGCAUCUCCUGCUCUAACAGUCACUCACACAUCUCCUGCUCUAACAGUCACUCACAUCUCCUGCUCUAACAGUAACACAAAUCUCCUGCUCUAACAGUCACACACAUCUCCUGCUCUAACAGUCACUCACAUCUCCUGCUCUAACAGUAACACAGAUAUCCUGCUCUAACAAUCACGCACAUCUCCUGCUCUAACAGUCACUCACAUCUCCUGCUCUAACAGUCACUCACAUCUCCUGCUCUAACAGUCACUCACAUCUCCUACUCUAACAAUCACUCACAUCUCCUGCUCUAACAAUCACUCACAUAUCUGCUCUUGCAGUCACUCACAUCUCCUACUCUAACAAUCACUCACAUCUCCUGCUAUAACAAUCACUCACAUAUCCUGCUCUUGCAGUCACUCACAUCUCCUGCUCUAACAAUCACUCACAUCUCCUGCUCUAACAGUCACCCACAUCUCCUGCUCUAGCAGUCACCCACAUCUCCUGCUCUAGCAGUCACUCACAUCUCCUGCUCUAGCAGUCACUCACAUCUCCUGCUCUAGCAGUCACUCACAUCUCCUGCUCUAGCAGUCACUCACAUCUCCUGCUCUAGCAGUCACUCAUAUCUCCUGCUCUAACAGUCCCACACAUCUCCUGCUCUAGCAGUCACUCACAUCUCCUGCUCUAGCAGUCACUCACAUAUCCUGCUCCAGCAGUCACUCAAAUCUCCUGGUCUAGCAGUCACUCACAUCUCCUGCUCUAACAGUCCCACACAUCUCCUGCUCUAACAAUCACUCACAUCUGGUGGUCUAGCAGUCCCACACAUCUGGUGGUCUAGCAGUCACAAACAUCUGGUGGUCUAGCAGUCCCACACAUCUGGUGGUCUAGCAGUCCCACACAUCUGGUGGUCUAGCAGUCACACACAUCUGGUGGUCUAGCAGUCCCACACAUCUGGUGGUCUAGCAGUCACACACAUCUGGUGGUCUAGCAGUCCCACACAUCUGGUGGUCUAGCAGUCCCACACAUCUAGUGGUCUAGCAGUCCCACACAUCUGGUGGUCUAGCAGUCACACACAUCUGGUGGUCUAGCAGUCCCACACAUCUGGUGGUCUAGCAGUCACACACAUCUGGUGGUCUAGCAGUCACACACAUCUGGUGGUCUAGCAGUCCCACACAUCUGGUGGUCUAGCAGUCCCACACAUCUGGUGGUCUAGCAGUCACACACAUCUGGUGGUCUAGCAGUCCCACACAUCUGGUGGUCUAGCAGUCACAAACAUCUGGUGGUCUAGCAGUCUUGCCAUGGAGGAAAAUAGAGUGUACUUUUCAGUGCUACUAAAUGAGAAGAUUUGAACGAGUUAAACCCAAAAUAACUGUCAUUUACUGAGUUUGUAUCAUUGUUAUUGUUUGUAUAUCCUAUUAGAAACACAUUAUAACAUGUUAAACUGCAAUAUAAAGACUAGAAAAAUGUGUUUACUGUACAUCCAUGGUAUGUUUUGAAAAUAUAAUUGUAUAUUACAGCACUUAAGUGGGGUUUAUACAUAAAUCAGCUAAAAUGUGUAAAUUUUGUCUCCUUUACAUUUAUCUAAAAAUGCAAAAUAAAUGCAUCUUAGUUUAAAUCUUA